GAAAAUUUAUUUCUCACCUGUGCGGUUUUCAGAGCCUCAUGGGGCUGAUGCAUGAGCAGUUUCCAGUAACCUGUGGAAAGCCCUGGAUCCAGGGGGCCGGGUGGUGUUUUGACCUGUGGUGUGCCGACUCCUAGACGCUUGGGCUCCAAGAGAAUUACAGCCUCUAGAGAAUUACAUCUGCGGGAAACAUGCAGCAUUUGGGAUCUUAGUUCCCCAACCAGGGAUCAAACCCAUGUCCUGUGCAAUGGAAGCCUGGAUUCUUAACCACUGGACCACCAGGAAAGUUCCAGCAUCUGUGUCUUUACUCACUUUCAGUACAUCACUCUUGUGACAUCACUCCCAGUUCUCAGGAGGACCCCUGUGACAAUGAUGGAGCCUGGCUCUGGUAAUGACCUUGGGAAUUACCUUUCUGUUGGUGAUGCUGGUUGAAAAGGCUUCUUACUCACCAAAUCCUGCUGACAAGCCUUUGGGUGGGAUGUGAUUCCUGAUCUGUUGGGUCAGGCUUCUCCGUAGGAAGAAGUGGCCCAGAUUCACUGAGGUGACUUUUUACAUCAAACUUAAGCCUUCACCUCCUAUCACGAGCCUCUGCCUUGGUGACUAUCACUCUUGAGACAGAAUCUUUUCUUCAUAUAUGUUGACUUUGUCCUGUUCUGCUCCUUUGGGAGCUAAAAAGGAAGGGCUUCUGUUGUUUCCUGUCAGUCUAUUACCCUUUUGAUUAUUAAAAUCAUUAUGUUUCCAAUGGGA